ensembl:ncRNA lncRNA:CR44757 long non-coding RNA:CR44757
AUGCCAUUUUAAUGUUGAAUAUUUUCUCGUAAACUUUGUUGGGACGUGAAAACGCCCCCAUGCUCCAGAUGUAAUCAUACAUAUGUACGUACAUACAUACAUACACACAUAUGUAGAUACGUUUUUCGAUAUUGCCAUGAGAUAAGGCCUAUGACCGAAAAUACCAUUAAAAAACAAACUAAAAGCCACGGGCCCCAGGGAAUUUGGAACUUUGCCUUCUCAUAUAUCAAAAUUCUAGGUGCUGAAGAAUACUCUAGCUUGUUGUUUGGCCUACAAAAACAACCAGAGUCAAUUUGUACUGUAUUUCAUAAUACUUCUACAUCUAGCAAACAACAAUAUUUGUUUGUCUGCAUGAGCAUAAAUUUAGUUCACCCUUCAGCUAUUGCAGAACUGAAGUUGAUAAAGACCUGUUCCUCCUAAUGGAAAUUCGGCUUAUAUUUAUACAGA